GACGAACGCUGGCGGCGUGGAUUAGGCAUGCAAGUCGAACGGUAUCAUCCUUUCGGGGGUGAGAGAGUGGCGAACUGGUGAGUAACACGUAGGUUAUCUACCCUCAAGACGGGGACAACCCAGGGAAACUUGGGCUAAUACCGGAUGUGAGCAACUUUUAGUUGUUUGAAAGGUGGCGUAAGCUGUCGCUUGGGGAUGAGCCUGCGUCCUAUUAGUUAGUUGGUGAGGUAACGGCUCACCUAGGCAAUGAUAGGUAGGCGGCCUUAACGGGUGGUCGCCCACACUGGGAUUGAGAUACGGCCCAGACUCCUACGGGAGGCAGCAGUCGAGAAUAGUCUACAAUGGUCGGAAGACUGAUAGUGCGACGCCGCGUGAACGAUGAAUCCCUUCGGGGUGUAAAGUUCUUUUAUAUGUGAGCAGUGCUUCUUAUAUUAACGUAUGGGGAAGAGAUAUUAGCAUAUGAAUAAGCAACGGCUAACUCCGUGCCAGCAGCCGCGGUAAUACG
rnacentral:rRNA from 1 species